rnacentral:rRNA from 1 species
UGGCUCAGAUUGAACGCUGGCGGCAGGCCUAACACAUGCAAGUCGAGCGGUAGCACAGAGAGCUUGCUCUCGGGUGACGAGCGGCGGACGGGUGAGUAAUGUCUGGGAAACUGCCUGAUGGAGGGGGAUAACUACUGGAAACGGUAGCUAAUACCGCAUAAUGUCGCAAGACCAAAGUGGGGGACCUUCGGGCCUCAUGCCAUCAGAUGUGCCCAGAUGGGAUUAGCUAGUAGGUGGGGUAACGGCUCACCUAGGCGACGAUCCCUAGCUGGUCUGAGAGGAUGACCAGCCACACUGGAACUGAGACACGGUCCAGACUCCUACGGGAGGCAGCAGUGGGGAAUAUUGCACAAUGGGCGCAAGCCUGAUGCAGCCAUGCCGCGUGUGUGAAGAAGGCCUUCGGGUUGUAAAGCACUUUCAGCGGGGAGGAAGGCGAUAAGGUUAAUAACCUUGUCGAUUGACGUUACCCGCAGAAGAAGCACCGGCUAACUCCGUGCCAGCAGCCGCGGUAAUACGGAGGGUGCAAGCGUUAAUCGGAAUUACUGGGCGUAAAGCGCACGCAGGCGGUCUGUCAAGUCGGAUGUGAAAUCCCCGGGCUCAACCUGGGAACUGCAUUCGAAACUGGCAGGCUAGAGUCUUGUAGAGGGGGGUAGAAUUCCAGGUGUAGCGGUGAAAUGCGUAGAGAUCUGGAGGAAUACCGGUGGCGAAGGCGGCCCCCUGGACAAAGACUGACGCUCAGGUGCGAAAGCGUGGGGAGCAAACAGGAUUAGAUACCCUGGUAGUCCACGCCGUAAACGAUGUCGAUUUGGAGGUUGUGCCCUUGAGGCGUGGCUUCCGGAGCUAACGCGUUAAAUCGACCGCCUGGGGAGUACGGCCGCAAGGUUAAAACUCAAAUGAAUUGACGGGGGCCCGCACAAGCGGUGGAGCAUGUGGUUUAAUUCGAUGCAACGCGAAGAACCUUACCUGGUCUUGACAUCCACAGAACUUUCCAGAGAUGGAUUGGUGCCUUCGGGAACUGUGAGACAGGUGCUGCAUGGCUGUCGUCAGCUCGUGUUGUGAAAUGUUGGGUUAAGUCCCGCAACGAGCGCAACCCUUAUCCUUUGUUGCCAGCGGUCCGGCCGGGAACUCAAAGGAGACUGCCAGUGAUAAACUGGAGGAAGGUGGGGAUGACGUCAAGUCAUCAUGGCCCUUACGACCAGGGCUACACACGUGCUACAAUGGCAUAUACAAAGAGAAGCGACCUCGCGAGAGCAAGCGGACCUCAUAAAGUAUGUCGUAGUCCGGAUUGGAGUCUGCAACUCGACUCCAUGAAGUCGGAAUCGCUAGUAAUCGUAGAUCAGAAUGCUACGGUGAAUACGUUCCCGGGCCUUGUACACACCGCCCGUCACACCAUGGGAGUGGGUUGCAAAAGAAGUAGGUAGCUUAACCUUCGGGAGGGCGCUUACCACUUUGUGAUUCAUGACUGGGGUGAA